rnacentral:rRNA from 1 species
GACGAACGCUGGCGGCGUGCUUAACACAUGCAAGUCGAACGAUGAAGCCGGAGCUUGCUCUGGUGAAUUAGUGGCGAACGGGUGAGUAACACGUGAGUAACCUGCCCUUGACUCUGGGAUAACUGCUAGAAAUGGUAGCUAAUACCGGAUACGACCCUCGGAGGCAUCUCCAGGGGGUGGAAAGAAUUUCGGUCAAGGAUGGACUCGCGGCCUAUCAGCUAGUUGGUGAGGUAAUGGCUCACCAAGGCGACGACGGGUAGCCGGCCUGAGAGGGUGACCGGCCGCACUGGGACUGGGACGCGGCCCAGACUCCGACGGGAGGCAGCAGUGGGGAAUAUUGCACAAUGGGCGCAAGCCUGAUGCAGCAACGCCGCGUGAGGGAUGACGGCCUUCGGGUUGUGAACCUCUUUUAGUAGGGAAGAAGCGAAAGUGACGGUACCUGCAGAAAAAGCACCGGCUAACUACGUGCCAGCAGCCGCGGUAA